AUUGAACGCUGGCGGCAUGCCUUACACAUGCAAGUCGAACGGCAGCACAGGAGCAAUCCUGGUGGCGAGUGGCGAACGGGUGAGUAAUAUAUCAGAACGUGCCCAGUAGUGGGGGAUAACUGCUCGAAAGAGCAGCUAAUACCGCAUACGACCUGAGGGUGAAAGGGGGGGGAUCGCAAGACCUCUCGCUAUUGGAGCGGCCGAUAUCAGAUUAGCUAGUUGGUGGGGUAAAGGCCUACCAAGGCAACGAUCUGCAGUUGGUCUGAGAGGACGACCAGCCACACUGGGACUGAGACACGGCCCAGACUCCUACGGGAGGCAGCAGUGGGGAAUUUUGGACAAUGGGCGCAAGCCUGAUCCAGCAAUGCCGCGUGCAGGAAGAAGGCCUUCGGGUUGUAAACUGCUUUUGUCAGGGAAGAAAUCCUCUAGGUUAAUACCCUUGGGGGGAUGACGGUACCUGAAGAAUAAGCACCGGCUAACUACGUGCCAGCAGCCGCCGUAAAAC
rnacentral:rRNA from 1 species